AUUGAACGCUGGCGGCAGGCCUAACACAUGCAAGUCGAACGAGUGGCGGACGGGUGAGUAAUGCCUGGGAAACUGCCUGAUAGAGGGGGAUAACUACUGGAAACGGUAGCUAAUACCGCAUACUAUCGGAUGUGCCCAGAUGGGAUUAGCUAGUAGGUGGGGUAAAGGCUCACCUAGGCGACGAUCCCUAGCUGGUCUGAGAGGAUGAUCAGCCACACUGGAACUGAGACACGGCCCAGACUCCUACGGUAGGCAGCAGUGGGGAAUAUUGGACAAUGGGCGCAAGCCUGAUGCAGCCAUGCCGCGUGUAUGAAGAAGGCCUUCGGGUUGUAAAGUACUUUCAGCGGGGAGGCGUUACCCGCAGAAGAAGCACCGGCUAACUCCGUGCCAGCAGCCGCGGUAAUUC
rnacentral:rRNA from 1 species